rnacentral:rRNA from 1 species
UACGUAGGGCGCAAGCGUUAUCCGGAAUUAUUGGGCGUAAAGAGCUCGUAGGCGGUUUGUCGCGUCUGCUGUGAAAACUCGGGGCUUAACUCCGGGCCUGCAGUGGGUACGGGCAGACUAGAGUGCGGUAGGGGAGACUGGAAUUCCUGGUGUAGCGGUGAAAUGCGCAGAUAUCAGGAAGAACACCAAUGGCGAAAGCAGCUUUCUGGGACGGUACUGACGCUGAGACGCGAAAGCGUGGGGAGCGAACAGG